UCCUACACCAGCACCGGGCGAUGGGAAGGGGAUGCAGGAACCCACCUCGGGGCGAGGUGGGGGGGUUAAGGAGGUUAGAGCAGGGCCUAGGGCUGGGGGGGGAGGUGAGAUGGAGAAGUCAGGGAAGGGGGGAGCAGCCGGGAAAGGUGAGAGACAGAGAAGCCCUGAAGCAAAACCUUUGUCCCGCAGGCAAAACUCCACCAAACGCCGCUGGAAGGGGAGCAAAGCAAAAUGAGCUGCUGUUUUCUGUGCAGUGGAUGGAUCCUAGAAAACACAGGGCCGUCUGGAGUGGAGAAUUAUGGCCAGAGAACCAACUCCUGGGACUGAUUUGGGUUGAACCAGCAGAUCCCCCAGGUUGAACCCCUCUGCCGGGCUGAAUUUAGCAGCAGGAGAGAUAACCAGGAGAUAAGGGCUGAUACCCGGCAGGACAGCAGGAGAGCGACCGAGGGAAGGGGGAGAAGCUGGAGGCCGAGUCCUGCAGUGCUUCAGGAGCGGCCGCCUGCCCAAUUGUGCCUGGCUUGGAUUCCCGUCUAUCUCUCUUCUCCAUACAAGAUUUCCCGGAUUUCCCCUACCGGAGAAGCCCUGUGUUGAAUUUCUAGCGCACAUCACCUCUUUCUUUAAUUUUAUUUAAAGAAAAAAGAGAAGGAUUUUGAUGGAAAACGGUUACAGCUCUGCGAGCAGCACCGCCAGGAGCAGAGAUCUCAAGGAGCGCCUUUGGCUUUGCCUUUCCAAAUGACAAAAAAAAACAGAGCCAAAAAAAAAGCAGAACCCGGACCCACGUCCCUGUGCGGGCAAAGCCCCGCAGCGCCGAGCAUCGAAAACGCUGCGGGGGCAAAGGAGCGGACGGGAGGGGAGGUUGGGGGAAGCUGAGCUCUUGUCGUACCCUCCCCAAACAUUUAUAUAUCUUAAUCAUUAUAAUUAAAAACGAAAGCAGAAGUUGGGGAUGCGGCGGAGCGCGGGGAAAAUCGCUCAAUCAAUUAACGAAGAAAUCGAUAAAUAAAGAAGUAAAAUCUCGAAGUGAAUCGCUGUGAUUUCGGGGAGCGACCUCCCGAAAAGAAAUCACGGCGCUGCAAACGAAACGGAGCCGGACGGCGCUCCGGGCAACGAACCGCGUCCUUCCCACGCUGCUCCUCACCCGGGGGGCGAUCAGCGGCCGCUGCGGGGCCGUUUUCUCCCGCAUGGGAACGGUGGAUGCGAACAGCGAGAGAGAUCGGGGCUGGGGACGGAGGGAGAACUCAUUUCCAAGUUGCUCCGCGGGACAGAGCUGAGAAUUGUUUAAAAAUCGCGCACACAAACACGCAAAUAAAAUGUUUAGGGAGGAAAUGAAGCAGGAGGGAAAUGUUUCAGCGAGGGGAAAAGAAUAAUUGGGUGAACGCAGCCGGCGGAUGAACGGGUAAAUAGAUGGAUGGGUAAAUGCGCCAAAAGUGCAGGGGUAUUUUUAAAGGAUUUCUGUUGUUAUUUCGAGUCGGGAGGAUCUGUGUGCCCUGCGAGGGCGGUCGGAGGGGUCUGCACCGGGGCUGGGUACGGUUCUGCUGCAUAGAGCCGGGACAACCUGAGCCCGGCUGUAGGGACGAGCCCCGGAUCGUGGCAUUAUCUAUAUGUACCCUCUGGUAUAGAUCUAUAAAUCUACGGAUCGAUGGGUUUGUGGAUCUGUAGGUCUAUGGAUCUAUAGGUUUACAGAGCUAUAGGGUUAUAGAUCUAUAGGGUUAUAGGGUUGUAGAGCUGUAGGGUUAUAUGUCCGUAUGUUCGUAGAGCUGUAGGUUUCUAGUUUAUAGGGCCGGGGAGCGGC